rnacentral:rRNA from 1 species
UACGUAGGGUGCAAGCGUUAAUCGGAAUUACUGGGCGUAAAGCGUGCGCAGGCGGUGAUGUAAGACAGAUGUGAAAUCCCCGGGCUCAACCUGGGAACUGCAUUUGUGACUGCAUCGCUGGAGUGCGGUAGAGGGUGGUGGAAUUCCCGGUGUAGCAGUGAAAUGCGUAGAGAUGUGGAGGAAUACCGAUGGCGAAGGCAGCCCCCUGGGCCAAUACUGACGCUCAUGCACGAAAGCGUGGGGAGCAAACAGG